UGCCGCCUGCCAGCCCGCGCAGUCGCGCUGUUCGCGCGCGUCAUGGCGGCCCCCAUGUCCGUAGUGCUGAAAGAUGUAGUGGCCUAUGUUGAAGUGUGGUCUUCCAAUGGGACAGAGAAUUAUUCCAAGACAUUUACCAACCAGCUUGUGGAUAUGGGGGCAAAGGUUUCAAAAACUUUUAACAAACAAGUAACUCACGUUGUCUUCAAAGAUGGGUACCAGAGCACUUGGGACAAAGCCCAGAAGAGGGGGAUAAAGCUCGUCUCAGUGCUCUGGGUUGAAAAGUGUAGGACAGCUGGGGUGCAUGCUGAUGAGUCCCUAUUCCCAGCAGCUAGCCCCAGCGAGCACACACUAAACCUGAUGAGAAAGAAGCGUAAAUGCAUGCAACCCAAAGAUUUCAUUCCCAGAACACCAGACAAUGAUAAAAGACUUCAGAGAAAAUUUGAGAAAAUGACUGAAGAACUACAGAGACAAAAGACCACACUCGAUGACAUUGUGCCUGUUUUAUUUGAACCUUGUGGCUCAUUGAUGUACAGUCCCUCAAUUAAAAUUGGUAGUCCCCAGCACACGAUGGAGAAGAGAUUACAAGAGAUGAAGGAGAAAAGAGAACGUCUUUCUCCUACCUCUUCCCAGAGGACCGAGCUGGCCCAGGAGAACCCGGAUGACAGUCUGUACGGAGCUUCUCUAAACAUUCCCCAGGAUACUUCCUCUGCAGAUGAAUCCUUUGGUGGUGGUUUACACUCAUCUUCUUGUGAUGACCUCUCUGGAAAUCAGGAGAGGAAAUUAGGACAAUCUGUUAAGGAAAUGACAAGUGGCGUGCGCAGUUCCUCACCUGUCCUGAGCACGGGCCACGCACCUCCUCUGGCAUCGUCCAGCUGCCUCAGUGAGCGGAACCCCCAGAAGUCCAUGAGUGAUCUUCCCAAGGAAGAAGUCAAGUGGCCGAGAGACCCAGGCAGUGAAAUUGUCACCCCAGACAGAAAGCAGGCUGCAGUGGCGUCUGAGGUGAGUGAGGAGAAGGGCAGCCCCUCUCCCACGACAACCGUAGCUGGAGGGCAUCUCGGGCUGCACUCAGUACCCAGAAGCUGCUCGGCCAAGAAGAAGAGGACGCUGGCAGACUCAUGGUCGCCUCUGAGAGAAACGCCGAGGAGGAGCAGGAGCAGGAGGAGCAGCAGCUGGAGGCCCGCGGUGCCCGGCGUGCAGCUGCUCAGAUCUGGACACAGCCUGCAGUAUCCAUCCGUGUCCACCCUGGGGACUCCUGACAAUGUAGCAUCGUCUUACGAGGAUUACUUCUCCCCUGAGAACCUCCAGGAGAGGACCUCCGGGCAUCGUCGUCCUGGGUCUCAGCUGUCAGCAGGCCCUGCCCACUUCAGCUGCAGAAGCCUUUCGCAGAGGGAGAGGGCAAAUAUCCUAGAAAUGUCGGACUUUUCCUGCAUUGGCGAGAAGGUCAGAUUGGGCAGCAUCACUGAUUUGACAGCAAAAGCGCACUCCAGCCUUUGGAGACCUACAGGCUUGGCUAGGGAGGCCACGCCUGCUGCUGAAGAAGACCCAGGGCACUGCAGGCAGGCUGGGCGUCCCCAGGGAGAAGAUGCAGGAACCAUGGGAAGCCACCAUCCCGUCACCCACGGCCCUGCUGGUUCAGGGCAGGAGGGCAGCAGCCACUCCCCCGUGCAAGGCAGUGGACCAGAGAGAGGACUGGCUGGCAAGAGAGGCACCCAGAAAGAGGGCCCUGCCACCACAGUGCCAAAGUCCCCCUUGGGGUCCGCACAAGAGUGUGAGCUGAGUCUUGGAGAGGAGCAGUCUGCAGGGGAAGAAAAGGAAAACGUAGCCCUGGGAUACAGUGGAAAUGUUAAAAACAGACCAACAAGGCACGACAUUUCAGCCAGCUCACAAGAAGGCGUUGAGGACCUCGUCGGACGUCAUGAGGAGUCAGAAAAAAGGGGGGAAAGCCAGCAGUCUGAGCCCACACGAACAUUAGUCAUGACGAGCAUGCCAUCAGAGAAGCAGAGCAUCGUCAUGCAGGUGGUGGAUACCCUAAAGGGCUUCUCCUUGGCGCCUGAAGUUUGUGACACAACCACACAUGUGCUGGCUGGGAAGCCGCUGCGCACACUGAACGUGCUGCUGGGGAUUGCGCGUGGCUGCUGGGUGCUCUCCUAUGAGUGGGUACUGUGGUCUUUGGAGUUGGGUCACUGGAUUUCUGAGGAGCCUUUUGAACUCUCUACCUACUUCCCAGCAGCUCCUAUGGAGAAGCCUCCAGUGGACUGGAUGGAGGACCCAGGACCAGAGAAGGGCACCUCACCAUGAGGCUGUGCCACCUCCCUGGGUGCAGCUGGGUGACUUCUAUUUGCCACAGAACUGCAGAAACGAUCAGUGAGCGUGCGUGGAGGGAAGGAUCGGACUGGCAGCUUGAGGAAGUCUGAGUCUCUGACUCCCAGGUGGUGGGCGUGCUGCUCACGUGGGUGGAGGGGAAAGGUGCCAGGGCUUCACUGUAAGUCAUCCAGGUGUGUGCUGUGACAUCCUGUGGGAUGGGGCACACCCAUCUGAAAUAGGACACACUUAGAUAGAACACAAUUAAAGAAACAAGAGAGCCUCAAAUCUCUCACAGUCCGCGCUGCCACAAAGCAGCACGGCAUCUGCUUUCCUUUCUCACUUCUAUGGCAUGCUGUGUAUGCCGGGUGACCUUACAGACUCAGGAAGGAAGGACUUUUUAUUUACUGGUUAUUUGAGAGAUAGCCAAGUAACAUUUUUUAAGAUUGCCCCGCAAAUUCCCUGAAUUUUUAGAUGUACUUUAGUUUAUAUAAUUAUCCCACUGUACAAAGUUGUCCCAAAUGUUGUUUGAUUUUUAAAUAUUUUCAUUCUAAUAUUUUUGUGGAAUAUUUUAUCUUCCCAUCAAAAAAAACAAAUGCCAAAAAGGUCAAGAUAUAAACACAGCUUUUAAAGGCAGUGGGUAAAAUUUUCAAACAAUGGGUGAGCGCAUUAGCCCGUCAAUAUUUUUGCCAGUAGUUCUGUGUCCUGUUUUCUCCCAGUAGAAAGAAAUGCUAAACAUUCCUUUCAGCGGAUUGAUGUCAGCGGUGACUGUUUUACCCAUGACCCAAGUUAGGUCAAACAGCCUUUUCUUUGACCAGCACAGUAUUUCAUUUGAAAUUUUGAGGAGGCUUUGUUAGCUCUCCUUUUAUGACUAAGUGCUCCUCAGUCACGUCAGCAGAGCCGCAGGUUCCGUGGCCUCGGAGUAGCGUGCCGGGUUCUCUGUCGUCACCACCAGCAGGCGCCCUCUCUCCCGUAUUUCACACAGUGAAUUUCCAUGUGAUAGUGGCUUAAUGCCACCUACAUUAAUCUUCAUUGAAUCUAAAUUGGUUAACAUAAAUAAAAUUGCUUAUGUCAAAGAUGUGAAAAGAGGCCCAUGGCCCUUUCCGGUUUUCCCAUCCAUCUGACUGACUUGCGAUGAAAAUGCCUUCCUGUGGGAAACCAUGCUUGACGGUGGAGUUACAUGGGCAAAAAAGUAGUUUUUGAAAAAUUA